rnacentral:rRNA from 1 species
CAGGCCUAACACAUGCAAGUCGAACGCCCCGCAAGGGGAGUGGCAGACGGGUGAGUAACACGUGGGAACGUGCCCUAUGGUUCGGAACAACCCUGGGAAACUAGGGCUAAUACCGGAUACGCCUGUGAUCCUUGGGGUCAUGGGGAAAGGUUUACUGCCGAAGGAUCGGCCCGCGGAUGAUUAGCGAGUUGGUGGGGUAACGGCCUACCAAGGCGACGAUCAGGAGCUGGGAUGAGAGGAUGAGCAGCCACACUGGGACUGAGACACGGCCCAAACGCUGACGGGAGGCAGCAGUGGGGAAGAUUGGGCAAUGGGCGAGAGCCUGACCCAGCCAUGCCGCGUGCAGGAAGAAGGCUUGAUGAGGAGGAAACUGCUUUUGAGAGGGAAGAAGAACCAGGACGGUGACUGGGAUGACGGGACUGACAGAAGAAGCACCGGCGAACGCCGUGCCAGCAGCCGCG